GCCGAAGUGGCGGAACUGGCAGACGCGCUAGGUUCAGGGCUUAGUGGCCGUAAGGUCGUGUCGGUUCGAAUCCGACCUUCGGCACCA
rnacentral:tRNA from 5 species